GGGUGUGAUCAUACCAGCACUAAUGUACUGGAUUCCACCAGAACUACGUAGUCAAACGUGUUUAGGCGAGAGUAGUAUUAGGAUAGAUGACAUUUUGGGAAGUUCUCGUGCUGCAUCCU
rfam:Gossypium hirsutum cultivar TM-1 chromosome 25, whole genome shotgun sequence